GAUGAACGCUGGCGGCGUGCCUAAUACAUGCAAGUCGAGCGAACAGACGAGGAGCUUGCUCCUCUGACGUUAGCGGCGGACGGGUGAGUAACACGUGGAGAACCUACCUAUAAGCCUGGGAUAACUUCGGGAAACCGGAGCUAAUACCGGAUAAUAUAUUGAACCGCAUGGUUCAAUAGUGAAAGACGGUUUUGCUGUCACUUAUAGAUGGAUCCGCGCCGCAUUAGCUAGUUGGUAAGGUAACGGCUUACCAAGGCAACGAUGCGUAGCCGACCUGAGAGGGUGAUCGGCCACACUGGAACUGAGAGACGGUCCAGACUCCUACGGGAGGCAGCAGUAGGGAGUCUUCCGCACUGGGCGAAAGCGUGACGGAGAAACGCCGCGUGAGUGAUGAAGGUCUUCGGAUCGUAAAACUCUGUUAUGAGGGAAGAACAAAUGUGUAAGUAACUAUGCACGUCUUGACGGUACCUAAUCAAAAAGCCACGGCUAACUACGUG
rnacentral:rRNA from 1 species